AGAGUUUGAUCCUGGCUCAGAUUGAACGCUGGCGGCAUGCUUUACACAUGCAAGUCGAACGGCAGCGAGGAGAAGCUUGCUUCUCUGUCGGCGAGUGGCGAACGGGUGAGUAUAGCAUCGGAACGUGCCAAGUAGUGGGGGAUAACCAAACGAAAGUUUGGCUAAUACCGCGUAAGCUCUAAGGAGGAAAGUAGGGGACCUAAAUAAGGCCUUACGCUAUUUGAUCGGCCGAUGUCGGAUUAGCUAGUUGGUGGGGUAAUGGCUCACCAAGGCAAUGAUCCGUAGCGGGUCUGAGAGGACGAUCCGCCACACUGGGACUGAGACACGGCCCAGACUCCUACGGGAGGCAGCAGUGGGGAAUUUUGGACAAUGGGGGAAACCCUGAUCCAGCCAUGCCGCGUGUAUGAAGAAGGCCUUAGGGUUGUAAAGUACUUUUGUUAGGGAAGAAAAGCUAGUUUUUAAUAAAAAUUAGUGAUGACGGUACCUAAAGAAUAAGCACCGGCUAACUACGUG
rnacentral:rRNA from 1 species